rnacentral:rRNA from 1 species
UACGGAUGGGGCGAGCGUUAAUCGGAAUUACUGGGCGUAAAGCGCACGUAGGUGGCGACGUAAGUCGGGUGUGAAAGCCCCGGGCUCAACCUGGGAAUUGCAUUCGAGACUGCAUUGCUGGAGUACGGAAGAGGAGGGCGGAAGUCCCGGUGUAGCGGUGAAAUGCGUAGAUAUCGGGAGGAACAUCAGUGGCGAAGGCGGCCCUCUGGUCCAGUACUGACACUCAAGUGCGAAAGCGUGGGGAGCAAACAGG